rnacentral:rRNA from 1 species
AUUGAACGCUGGCGGCAUGCCUUACACAUGCAAGUCGAACGGUAACGCGGGGCAACCUGGCGACGAGUGGCGAACGGGUGAGUAAUGCAUCGGAACGUGCCCAGAAGUGGGGGAUAGCCCGGCGAAAGCCGGAUUAAUACCGCAUGAGACCUGAGGGUGAAAGCGGGGGAUCGCAAGACCUCGCGCUUUUGGAGCGGCCGAUGUCAGAUUAGCUAGUUGGUGGGGUAAAGGCCUACCAAGGCGACGAUCUGUAGCUGGUCUGAGAGGACGACCAGCCACACUGGGACUGAGACACGGCCCAGACUCCUACGGGAGGCAGCAGUGGGGAAUUUUGGACAGUGGGCGCAAGCCUGAUCCAGCCAGGCCGCGUGCGGGAAGAAGGCCUUCGGGUUGUAAACCGCUUUUGUCAGGGAAGAAACGCUCUGGGCUAAUACCCUGGGGUAAUGACGGUACCUGAAGAAGAAGCACCGGCUAACUACGUG